rnacentral:rRNA from 1 species
UACGUAGCAGCGAGCGUUGUUCGGAGUUACUGGGCGUAAAGAGCGUGUAGGCGGCCCGGUAAGUCCGCUGUGAAAGUCGGGGGCUCAACCCUCGAAUGCCGGUGGAUACUGUCGGACUAGAGUACGGAAGAGGCGAGUGGAAUUCCUGGUGUAGCGGUGAAAUGCGCAGAUAUCAGGAGGAACACCGAUUGCGAAGGCAGCUCGCUGGGACGUUACUGACGCUGAGACGCGAAAGCGUGGGGAGCAAACAGG